rnacentral:rRNA from 1 species
AGGACGAACGCUGGCGGCGUGCUUAACACAUGCAAGUCGAACGGUAAGGCCCCUUCGGGGGUACACGAGUGGCGAACGGGUGAGUAACACGUGAGCAACCUGCCCUUGACUCUGGAAUAACAGCUGGAAACAGCUGCUAAUACCGGAUACGACGCGCCUCGACAUCGAGGAACGUGGAAAGCUCCGGCGGUCAAGGAUGGGCUCGCGGCCUAUCAGCUAGUUGGUGAGGUAACGGCUCACCAAGGCUUCGAC